AUUGAACGCUGGCGGCAUGCUUUACACAUGCAAGUCGAACGGUAACAGGCCGCAAGGUGCUGACGAGUGGCGAACGGGUGAGUAAUGCAUCGGAACGUGCCCAGUCGUGGGGGAUAACGCAGCGAAAGCUGCGCUAAUACCGCAUACGAUCUAUGGAUGAAAGCGGGGGACCGUAAGGCCUCGCGCGAUUGGAGCGGCCGAUGUCAGAUUAGGUAGUUGGUGGGGUAAAGGCUCACCAAGCCGACGAUCUGUAGCUGGUCUGAGAGGACGACCAGCCACACUGGGACUGAGACACGGCCCAGACUCCUACGGGAGGCAGCAGUGGGGAAUUUUGGACAAUGGGGGCAACCCUGAUCCAGCAAUGCCGCGUGUGUGAAGAAGGCCUUCGGGUUGUUAAAGGCACUUUGUCUAGGAACGGAAACGGUACGUGGGCGUAAUAUACCUGGGCGUAAUGACGGUACCUGAAGAAUAAG
rnacentral:rRNA from 1 species